CGUAAAGCGCGCGCAGGCGGUCCUUUAAGUCUGAUGUGAAAGCCCACGGCUCAACCGUGGAGGGUCAUUGGAAACUGUGGGACUUGAGUGCAGAAGAGGAGAGUGGAAUUCCACGUGUAGCGGUGAAAUGCGUAGAGAUGUGGAGGAACACCAGUGGCGAAGGCGACUCUCUGGUCUGUAACUGACGCUGAGGCGCGAAAGCGUGGGGAGCGAACAGGAUUAGAUACCCUGGUAGUCCACGCCGUAACCGAUGAGUGCUAAGUGUUAGAGGGUUUCCGCCCUUUAGUGCUGCAGCAAACGCAUUAAGCACUCCGCCUGGGGAGUACGACCGCAAGGUUGAAACUCAAAGGAAUUGACGGGGGCCCGCACAAGCGGUGGAGCAUGUGGUUUAAUUCGAAGCAACGCGAAGAACCUUGCCAGGUCUUGACAUCCUCUGACACCUCUGGAGACAGAGUUCCCCCCUUCGGGGGACAGAGUGACAGGUGGUGCAUGGUUGUCGUCAGCUCGUGUCGUGAGAUGUUGGGUUAAGUCCCGCAACGAGCGCAACCCUUGUCCUUAGUUGCCGGCAUUCAGUUGGGCACUCUAAGGAGACUGCCGGUGACAAACCGGAGGAAGGUGGGGAUGACGUCAAAUCAUCAUGCCCCUUAUGACCUGGGCUACACACGUGCUACAAUGGAUAGAACAAAGGGCAGCAAAACCGCGAGGUCAAGCCAAUCCCAUAAAUCUAUUCUCAGUUCGGA
rnacentral:rRNA from 1 species